ensembl:lncRNA
UUUUGCCCUUGGGCCAUCUGCAACCAGACAGCAAUAAACUCUUUGCUAGUUGCUUGAACUUUGCCUGCCUCAGUAGUCUCAAUUUUGUCUGUCUGAUCUUACAGGAACGAGAGAGUCUAUUUAUAAUUAUGCAUCCAUUUGUUGACUCCCUAUAAGGAAGGUAAAUGCAGUUGGACAAAGAUUGAUUCUGGAAAGGCUUUUCCAUGAAUCUCAAAGAAUAUUGUGUCUAAAGUGACCAUGGAAAUAAAACGUGAAAACACAACUGAAAUGAAAAAUGCAAGUUGAGACAUUGCUACUGAUCUUAUAAGAAUAAAGGAUCCUCUGGGUAAUUGAUGUAUUACUCAGAAUUUGGAUAUUGAAACGAGCAACAUAUUGCUUUUCCAGAGGGAAAACACUCCAUGAAACUGAGUCAACAUUUAAGAAAAUGUCCUCAGAAUCAUUUGACAAAGACAACACAGAAAAGAAUCCAUAUGGAUUAGUUAAAUGAUAAGAUGCCUUUAAAAUUGGUAAAUAGGAUGCCGAGCCAAAGUCGCAAGUCCUGUGGAACGCGCCGAAUCAGCUCGCUACAGACAGGCAGGUCUGCGGACACCAUAGCAAAGUGGCGAGUCACACCGAAUGCGCCCAAUCAGCCCGCACCCCCACAGCAAUCCACUGGACACCCCCUCCCCACCCCCCCCACCCCGCUCCUCUGUACAGCC